GGCAGGGAGGGUGAGGGUGGCAGGGCUCCUCCAGUCCUCCGCUCCUCGUUCGCUCACCGCAAAUUCAAAAACUGAAAGACAACUCAUCCUCCUCCUCCUCCCCCGCCCAAACCAAGGAAGAAGAAGAGAACGAGGGAAGACAACUGACUGAGAGUGAGGAGAUGGAAGCAGCAGCCGCCCCCAAUUCCUCCCACUCUCAGAGGAUUAGGCUCGCCACCCCCAUCAGAGUCUUCGCCAGGAUCUGCCCCGGCGGCGGAGGAGGAGGCUCCUUUCACGUCGCUGCCCACAUCCCCGAUGCAGCAGAUUCCUCCUCCGUCGUCGUCUCCCUCCUCCCCAUCCACGAGGAGGAUCACCACGCCCUGGCCACACCUGGGCCUGGAGACCCGCCCCAGCGCAAGGAUCACGAGUACAAGCUCGAUUGCUGCUAUCUCAAGGGCGACUCCUACAAUCACAUCUUCCACAGCGAGGUCAAGCCGCUCGUAGAUGUCACCUUCCAAGGCAACAACGCAUGCCUCGUCACUUGCGGUGCUACCUCCAAAACCCAUCUCAUCAUGAAAUUCAAUCUAAUCUACCCAUGACGCGAAUGCAAACGCCAGGGCUCCCAGGGUCAACCUGGCUUGCUUACCAUGGCCAUGGCGCAAAUCCUCCACCUCUCCAAACCCAUCAGCGCUCUUGUCAGUGUAUCCUCUUAUCAGGUGCUUCAGGAUAACCAUGCCUUCGAUCUCUUGGAGCCCAAGGACAAUGAGGUUCUCGUACUAGAGGAUGCCAAUGGAAGGACAAACCUUAAGGGCCUCACCAGGGUCGAUGUCAAGUCAACUGAGGAGUUUGCGGAUCUGUGUUAUUGCGGUAGCAACAACCUGAAACAUCCCACCAAAGGAAGGUUGUAGCAAAGAUGAACAUUCUUGACCUGGCAGACUAUGUUGAUCCCAAGCAGAAGAACAAUGGUGAAGGGCUUGCUCUACCAAACUGUAACAAGUCCAUGUAUGCCUUAAUGAAUGUUGUGCAAGCUCUGAACAGCAACCAGAGCUUCAUACCCUACAGACAGAGCAAGUUAACUCGUAUUUUGCAAGAUUCUUUAUGCAAAACAAACAGUGCUGUGCUGAUAGCAUGUUUGGUAAAGGAUACUUAACAUCUCAUUUUGUACUACUUUCUUCUCUCACCAGAUGGGCAACACAAAAUAUUGGUCAAAUAAAUGCCCUUUCCAUACCAUAAAUUCAAUGGUUACUUGAAGCUAGCAUGCAUUAAGGGGAGAUGUUGAUUGAAAAUUUGGUCACAACACUUCUACUUUCUAUCUGUGUU